rnacentral:rRNA from 1 species
AUACGUAGGGGGCGAGCGUUGUCCGGAAUUAUUGGGCGUAAAGGGCGCGUAGGCGGUGACACAAGUCAGGUGAUAAAGGCCCGGGCUCAACCGGUGUUAGGCACUUGAUACUGUGUUGCUAGAGUACAGGAGAGGGGAGUGGAAUUCCAGGUGUAGCGGUGAAAUGCGUAGAUAUCUGGAAGAACACCAGUGGCGAAGGCGGCUCUCUGGACUGCAACUGACGCUGAGGCGCGAAAGCUGGGGGAGCAAACAGGAUUAGAUACCCUGGUAGUCCCAGCCGUAAACGAUGAACACUAGGUGUAGGGGGUAUCGACCCCCCCUGUGCCGGGGCUAACGCAAUAAGUGUUCCGCCUGGGGAGUACGGCCGCAAGGUUGAA